rnacentral:lncRNA from 1 species
ACUAGCGACAUUUUUUUUUUAUUGCACCAUUCAAUUCAGCGUACACGAAUACACCUUCUCACAAAUUUUCAUUAAGAUAUCAGUAAAAAUGAAGAAAUUAUUACAAAAACAAUGAAAUUGUGCAACAUUGAUAAAAAUAUUUUUCCCCCAUAAUAAGAAAGUUUACACAGAAGCAGAUCCUACCUACCUACCUACCCUACCUACCUACCUACCUGACGACCUACUUGACAUUCCACUAAUACUGCAACCCAAUCCAGUACAACCCAGUGGAAGAAUGACCAGAAAUGCAAAAAUAUUUCAAGAAACUAUGGGAUAUCUUCUCGUCGUAGUCAACAUGAGACACAUUCUCUUGAAGGUUCUACCGAAAAGCAAAGAGGGGGUGAUCGGAAAGGAGCAAAAUGUUCAAGAAAACACUUAAUGACUAACUGUAAUAACUGAAAAUGAAGGUUUUUCUAAUAAAGGCAAGUGCCAUACCGUAUUAAUAUAUUUUGUGAUUAUGCAUGUAUUAAUUAAUAAACGUUUUAAAAUUAAAA